GAACGUAGCGAAAUGCGAUACUUGGUGUGAAUUGCAGAAUCCCGUGAACCAUCGAGUCUUUGAACGCAAGUUGCGUCCGAUGCCUUCAGGCUGAGGGCACGUCUGCUUGGGCGUCACGCAUCUCGUCAACGCCUCCCACGUCGUUUUUUCCGCGCUCAAAGG
rnacentral:rRNA from 1 species